UUAUAAUUUAAUAUAUUAAAAAUAAUUGUAAUAUUUAAUGUUUAAGUAUUUUAUAAAGAAUAAAUAAUUUUAAUAAUAGUGUAUUAGUAUUGUGAAAGAAAAUUGAAAUAAUUUGAAAAAUUUUUAUUUUAAAAGAAAAUUUAAUUUAUUGUACCUUGUGUAUCAGGGUUUAUUAAAUAAAAAAUAAUUAUUUAUUUUUCUCGAUUUUAAAAGAGUUAAUAAGUUAUAAAAGUUAAUGUAGCAAAAUUAUUUUUAAUAACUUAUUAGAAAUGAAAUGUUAUUCGUUUUUAAAGGUAUCUAGUUUUUUUAGAAAUAAAUUUAAUUUAGAAAUUUUAAAUUUAUUUAAUUAGUUAUAUUAGUUAAAUAAUUUUUUAAUUUUAAUAUUCUAUGGGAUAAGCUGUAGAAUAAAAUUUUAUAAAUAAUAAAUAAUUUAAUAAAAUGUAUGCUUAGAAUUAGCAAUCGUUGAUAAAUGUGUUAUAAUUUAUUUUAUAUUUUAAAUUAUUUAUUUUAUUUUAAGUUUUUAUAAAAAUAUUUAUUUUAAUUUUAAAAAUAAAGUAAUAAUGAUAGAAUUAGUAUAUAUUUAAUGUAAAAAUAAAUUUAUUUGAAAAGUUUAUGUAAAGAAUUCGGCAAAAUUUUAUGCCCGCCUGUUUAACAAAAACAUGUCUUUUUGAAGUUAAUUUAAAGUCUAACCUGCCCACUGAAAUUUUUAAAUGGCCGCAGUAUACUAACUGUGCAAAGGUAGCAUAAUCAUUAGUCUUUUAAUUGGAGGCUGGCAUGAAUGGUUGGACGAGGUAUAAACUGUUUCAUAUAAAAUUUUUAUAGAAUUUUAUUUUUUAGUCAAAAAGCUAAAAUGUAAUUAAAAGACGAGAAGACCCUAUAAAUCUUUAUAUUUAUUUAUAUUUUAAUUAUUAAGAAGUUUUUUAUUAUUAUAUAAAUAAAUAUUUUAUUGGGGUGAUAUUAAAAUUUAAUGAACUUUUAAUUUGUAAAAUCAUUAAUUUAUGAAUAAUUGAUCCGUCAAUGACGAUUAAAAAUUUAAGUUACUUUAGGGAUAACAGCGUAAUUUUUCUGGAGAGUUCAUAUCGAUAGAAAAGAUUGCGACCUCGAUGUUGGAUUAAGAUAUAAUUUUAGGUGUAGCCGCUUAAAUUUUAAGUCUGUUCGACUUUUAAAUUCUUACAUGAUCUGAGUUCAAACCGGCGUAAGCCAGGUUGGUUUCUAUCUUUAAUUAAUUAAAAUAUUUUAGUACGAAAGGACCAAAUAUUUGGAUAAUUAUAUUUUAUUUAAUGAAUAUAAAUAAUUU
rnacentral:rRNA from 1 species